AACGAACGCUGGCGGCGUGGAUAAGACAUGCAAGUCGAGCGAGAAAUUUGAAUAGCUUGCUAAUUAAAUUUCUAGCGGCGGACGGGUUAGUAACACGUGAGAUACCUACCCUUUAGUGGGGAAUAGCCUUUCGAAAGGAAGAUUAAUGCCCCAUGGUCUCUAUGGAGUAAAGAUGCCUUCGGGUGUCGCUAAAGGAUGGGCUCGCGGCCUAUCAGCUAGUUGGUGAGGUAAUUGCUCACCAAGGCAACGACGGGUAGCUGGUCUGAGAGGACGAUCAGCAACACUGGAACUGAGACACGGUCCAGACACCUACGGGUGGCAGCAGUCGAGAAUCAUUCACAAUGGGCGAAAGCCUGAUGGUGCAACGCCGCGUGGAGGAUGACGGCCCUAGGGUUGUAAACUCCUGUCAUCAGGGAGUAAGACUUGGUUGUUAAUAGCCUCCAAGUUUGAUAGUACCUGAAGAGGAAGGGACGGCUAACUUCG
rnacentral:rRNA from 1 species